AUACGUAGGGGGCGAGCGUUGUCCGGAAUUACUGGGCGUAAAGGGCGUGUAGGCGGUUUCGUAAGUUAGGUGUGAAAACCUAGGGCUCAACCCUGGGACUGCAUCUAAAACUGUGAGACUUGAGGAUGAGAGAGGAAAGUGGAAUUCCUAGUGUAGCGGUGAAAUGCGUAGAUAUUAGGAGGAACACCAGUGGCGAAGGCGACUUUCUGGCUCAUACCUGACGCUGAGGCGCGAAAGCGUGGGGAGCAAACAGGAUUAGAUACCCUGGUAGUCCACGCCGUAAACGAUGGAUACUAGGUGUAGGGGGGUCGAACCCUCUGUGCCGUAGCAAACGCACUAAGUAUCCCGCCUGGGGAGUACGUUCGCAAGAAUGAA
rnacentral:rRNA from 1 species